rnacentral:lncRNA from 10 species
CUUCUGGACCUGGUAGACCUUAAUAAUCCACAGCAAAUGACGACAUUUCAGUAUAGUGUUAAGAGUAGCAUAAAAGUCAGGCUUUUAAAAUAUCAGUCAUCUUCCUAUUAGUUUGCAGAAUAAAACCCACACAACAUUAAAAUAUCUAGACCUAUGCUGAUUCCCUUUCUAAUAUAAAUUGAACUGGAUUCUUUUUGUUAUGAACACUGAUUUGCAGACUCUUUUAGUUUACAUUUUAUUAUAUAUUAAAUUCAAUAAAAUAACAUCUAAAGAAAAAGACUCAUGGCUUAACAAUGUGUGGCUCUGUAAUUCUUAACAAAGAGUUUGACUUAAAGUUAAAUUAAACAGAAACUGUAGGGUAUUUUCUCAAAUUGGAGCAUGCAUCAGAAUCAACUAGAGGGCUUGUUAAAACAGAUUCCUGGGCCCACCCCAAGAGUUUUGGAUUCCGUAAGACUGAGGAGACUGGUCUGAAGGUAGUGAGUUAUCUCAAUUGAUUGUUCAGUUAUAGAUUGAACUCCUUGUUCAACUCUUUCCUCCCUUCUCGUUACUGCACUUGACCAGUCUUAAGAAUAAAUAAUUUAGAAAAAAGAGACUUAGGAGAGGCCCAAUAAUUUGCAUUCUAACAAGUGCUUUGUGGAAGCUAAAGCUGCUAGUUCCAGGACCACACUUUAAGCAUCACUGCUGUAGGGCAAUCAGAAAUUCAAGCCAUGUCUCAUUGUGAUUAAGAUCAAAUUGCUUUAUUUGUAAGUAGUUACAUUUAUUCAGCUUUUAUUACUAUGCAAUACAGAUAGCAAUUUAAGCAAACUAAUUUCAUUUUAGUGAUAUGCUUGAUACAUAGGAAUUUUUUUAAAUGUUAGAAAUUUAUUGAAUCAAUAAAGUACUUUAAAAUUCAUUUUUAAAAUGUUUUCAUAUUCUUUACAUUUUAAAUAUUUUUCAAGAAAAAUAAAGAAUUCUGUAUGUAUCUUGUGAAUAAACAAAAUAAUUUAAAACUGGAUUUUGCUUAGCAUUUUUACUUUUGCUGUGUUUUUAAUUUCUUUUUCUGAAUAAAGGUAUGAGGUCCAUUAAGCAACCAGGGAGAUCUUAUCAUUGGCCAAGUCUUUUGUCACCAGGUGGCAAAUAGGUGUUACUUGCUUGCAGAGUGUUCAGUGGCUGAGGCUGAGACUAAGUAAUCCUGCCUUAAGAAAAUAAUUACAAAACCCUAAAUAAUGAACAGCCAAUAGUUAGCAUUUACACCUUCUCUCCUCUGGUCAUUUCAAAUUUUAUUGAUUUCAACAAAAAAUGAAGAUAUGUAGGGAUUAUUUUUUGAGGAACUAUAAUAGGCACUUGUUAUGAAUUUAGAAUAGAGUUCAUUCUUAUGGACAAAGGGUUGUCUUUUUAACCUAAAAUAAAAUUCAGACUUUAGUUCCCUUUCCAAUACUCUUAAGAUUCAGAAUCAAUGGCAAAAUACUAACAAGGCAGAAUGACACUGUGAUUAAGAACACAGGACUUUGGAGCUAGAAUGCUGGGUUACAAAUACAGCUCCAUUAGUUAUUAGCUGUUUGACUUCAGUAAGAUUAUUAAUCUCCUUGGCUUCAAUUUCUUCUUCUAUAAAAUGGAAUUAAGAAUAGCACCUACUUUAGCAGGUUGUUCCAAGGAUUAAAUGAGAUACAAUGUAAAAAUUACUUAGCACAGUGCCUGGUAUAUAGUAGAAGCUAUGGAAGGACUUUUUAAAAUUAUUAUUAUUUUCUUUAUUAGUAAAAUUGAAGAUAAAAACAAAUCUUAAAAUAUGAGCAUCUUUUUAAUCUUUCAGGUAUUUCUAUGUAAUUUCAUAAUAUAACAUGACUCUAUCUGGCAUAUGAGAAAGAGGAAGGAGAUUUACAAUAGUACAACAAUUGUUUUACAUUUAAACAAUUUAACUCAUAUAGUCACCCUAGGCUGGCAACCAGUCAACACAGAAAUUCCCUUCUCAAUCAUAACGAAAAGGUUUAGUACAUUGUACAUUUGAAUAAAAAAACAGAACUUCAGUGUUCUAAGCAAACUUGUCAAUUUAAUCCACAAUGUAUGAUUUGCACUAGAAAUUAAGUAGCAAAUCAGCUAAUUAUGAAAAAUAAAUAAACUGUGAAUCAACCUGAUAACAAUAACAAAGUAAGAUGGGAAAAAAAGAAACCUUUUAUGACCCUCUACUCCAUUUUAAAAGUUAUCAGAACACUGUAUCAUCUGAAAUAACCUAAGGCACUGCACUUUUCGAAAUUAAAAAAAAAUGGGAAACUUGCAUGUUAAUUCAGACCUGAUGUUUAGAGUCCUUCAAAUUAUGAGUUAUUAAUUACAUAAAGAACAUAUAAGUUUUAUUUUUAACAGUAUUCAAUAGUAUAUCUCUGCCAUCACUGAAAAUAGCCAUAAAUACACAGAUCAGGGCAAUCUGAGAAAACAAAAUUUUGAGAAAAUAAAAUCAACAUUCAGAGAUUACAAAUAGGUCAUAUGCUUGCCUAAAUAUUUUAAUGCAGUCUUGAAGGUAAAAAUAAGUGUAUUUCCGUUUAAAAUUCAACAUGUCUUUAUGUAUUGAUUACUUAUUAUAAACAAUUGCAAACACAAAGACCCUAACGUCAUUUGAAACUUAAUUAUAAUCAAGUCACAUUACCUUCAUCAAAAUGUUAAAACCCCAGCUUGAGGAUAACAGCACUCUCCAAUGACUUCUGAAUUAUAGCAAAAAAUUGCAUUUCUCUUAUCACACACACAAAGCAUUAAAAAAAAAAAAAAAAAAGAAUUGACCAGUGAAGAGUCUAACCUUGAAAACCUGGGAAGAUCAGAGUUCACCAAAGCCCAAAGAU